CUAUCCUACAAAACCCUAGCCUCUCCCUCCUCUCCGCCUCCUAAAACCGCCUCCUCUCAUCUCACGGAAACAAACAGGGGAAAACCAUCCAGAGAGCUUCACCCAGCGCGCGAUGGGGAAGAAGGAGCGGUCAGUGAAUGUGUCGGGCAAGCCCCGUCACUCUCUCGACGUCAACCGCCCCAAUGACAAGAAGGGUGCUGGCGGUGGCUCAAGAUGUACAAACUAAGGCCCAUGAGGGACCGCGGUGGGAAGAUUGUCAAGCACGACCUCCAGUCCAAGGAGCUCCCCAACACCCGCAUUGAGCCUGACCGCCGGUGGUUCCGAAAUACAGAGUUAUCAAUCAGGUAGAACUUGAAUAUUUUAGGCAAGAACUCCAGGCACGGCUUACAAAUAACUACAGUGUGUUACUGAAAUCUAAACAUCUGCCACUAUCACUUCUGCAGGAUCAUCAGAAGCAAGCUCGUGCACAUAUUCUUGACAUUGAGCCUUUUGAGCAUGCCUUUGGACCAAAGGGCAACCGUAAACGACCAAAACUAUCCAGUCUUGAUUAUGAAUCUCUAAUAAAGAAAUCUGAUGAUUCUCAAGAUGCGUUUGAGGAAAAACAUGCUUCAUCAAAGUUGCCAAAGGAUGAAGAGGAAGAUGGCUUAAGGGAUCUAGUCAGGCAUAAUAUGUUUGAGACAGGACAAAGCAAAAGAAAUUGGGGUGAAAUUUAUAAAGUUCUUGACUCUUCAGAUUUUGUUGUGCAAGGAUCCAAUGGGCACGAGACGCUACCUUCUGGAGAAAUAUCUGAAGGAGAAUGCCAAGCACAAACACCUGUUAUUCUUACUAAAUAAGUGUGAUCUAAUACCUGAUUGGGCAACAAAAGGGUGGUUGCGUACUCUAUCGAGGGAUUAUCCCACCCUAGCAUUCCAUGCAAGCAUCAACAAGUCAUUUGGAAAAAUAAAUGAAAAAAGCUGGACGUUUUGGCGUUGGGUUCAUUGACCCAAAUACCAUUAAUGAAAAAAUAUGGGAACGUCAUGGAAAAGAAAUAGAGGAAAACUUGCUAAAGUUUUUGGUGGAUCAAAAUACCGAACCGGAAAUACUAUUUCCUCACAUCUACGGUUGUCACUGGAUCUUGCUAGUCAUUGAACUUGACGAGGGAAAAGUUACAUUGCUGGACACAAUAAAGGAAACAAAAGAAAUAUACUACUUGAACGUUAUUGGGAUGCUCGACACGUAAUUUCAAUCAAUAUCGCACUAUAUGCUGGCCUCGAUCUUUAGUUCAUUUCCUUAUAUCAGCUAAUUUAUCACUUCUUCAUUCAUUUUCUUUGCCGGCGGGCAGGGCUUAUGCAAAAUUCAAGGAAAAGGUGAAAGGCCCUUGGAAAGAAAAGCUGUCAUUUGUGAAACUCGGGUGCAUGAGGCAAGCGCAGGGGACUAAUUUAUGUGGCUACGUAGUUUGCGAGAACAUUCGCAUGAAGACGUCCGAAAGGAAGCUAAUGGACAAAAACUUUCAGUUGCUCCAGAUGCGGGAUCAGCUCCUAGAAGAUGACUGCAUGAAAGCACUUCAAGCGGAAAUAGCAGAAUUUUUCCUCGAGCAGGUCAUAGAUCCCAAUGGAGAAUACUAUUACCCGCUGUAAUGCCUGCAUUGUAAUGGUCUGCAAAUUGUAGGAGAAAUUUUAUGUACCAAGUUGCAUGUGAAUGCAUGCAUGGUCGAAUUCGAUGAUGUGAUAUAUAUA